AGCGGGGUAGGGUAGUUAGGAGAUCCCCGACGGGCUCAUAACCCGUAGAUCAAUGGUUCAAAUCCAUUCCCCGCUA
rnacentral:tRNA from 1 species